rnacentral:rRNA from 1 species
GAUGAACGCUGGCGGCGUGCCUAAUACAUGCAAGUCGAGCGAACAGACGAGGAGCUUGCUCCUCUGACGUUAGCGGCGGACGGGUGAGUAACACGUGGAUAACCUACCUAUAAGACUGGGAUAACUUCGGGAAACCGGAGCUAAUACCGGAUAACAUGUUGAACCGCAUGGUUCAACAGUGAAAGACGGUCUUGCUGUCACUUAUAGAUGGAUCCGCGCCGCAUUAGCUAGUUGGUAAGGUAACGGCUUACCAAGGCAACGAUGCGUAGCCGACCUGAGAGGGGAAACGGCCACCCUGGAACUGGGACACGGUCCAGACCCCUACGGGGGGCAGCAGGAGGGAAUCUUCGGAAAGGGGCGAAAGCCUAACGGGGCAACGCCGGGGGGGGGAAAAAGGUCUUCGGAUCGUAAAACUCUUUUAUUAGGGAAGAAAAAAUGUGUAAGUAACUAUGCACGUUUUGACGGUACCAAAUCAGAAAGCCACGGCUAACUACGU